rnacentral:tRNA from 3 species
CCAAUUAGUUAACCAUAGACAUAUUUUAGUUAAUGGUCGUAUAGUAGAUAUACCAAGUUAUCGCUGCAAACCCCGAGAUAUUAUUACAGCGAGGGAUGAACAAAAAUCCAGAGCUCUGAUUCAAAAUUAUCUUGAUUCAGCCCCCCAUGAGGAAUUGCCAAAACAUUUGACUCUUCACCCAUUCCAAUAUAAAGGAUUAGUCAAUCAAAUAAUAGAUAGUAAAUGGGUCGGUUUGAAAAUAAAUGAAUUGCUAGUCGUAGAAUAUUAUUCCCGUCAGACUUAAACCUAACUAAAAUAACAAAGUUUCGGGCGAUUUUGCUCCCUUUUUGCCGAAGUAAUAGAUCGGUAGCGAGAUUUUCAUUCCUUGCCUACUCUUUCCAGUAUUUUCCGUACUACAGCAAUUAGGAAUAGAGAAUCUAUAUCAAAGAAAGGUCUAACUGUUGGAAUAAUGGUAUCCUUUAUUAUUUGAUUUGAUACAUUGCGGUCAGUAACAUUGGUGAAUUAGGUGAAGGUAC